rnacentral:rRNA from 1 species
AACGAACGCUGGCGGCAUGCCUAACACAUGCCAGUCGAACGAGAUCCUUCGGGGUCUAGUGUCUCACGGGUGCGUAACGCGUGGGAAUCUGCCCUUAGGUUCGGAAUAACAGUUAGAAAUGACUGCUAAUACCGGAUGAUGACGUUAAGUCCAAAGAUUUAUCGCCUGAGGAUGAGCCCGCGUAGGAUUAGCUAGUUGGUGUGGUAAAGGCUCACCAAGGCGACGGUCCUUAGCUGGUCUGAGAGGAUGAUCAGCCACACUGGGACUGAGACACGGCCCAGACUCCUACGCGAGGCAGCAGUGGGGAAUAUUGGACAAUGGGCGCAAGCCUGAUCCAGCAAUGCCGCGUGAGUGAUGAAGGCCUUAGGGUUGUAAAGCUCUUUUACCCGAGAUGAUAAUGACAGUAUCGGGAGAAUAAGCACCGGCUAACUCCGUG